rnacentral:rRNA from 1 species
GACGAACGCUGGCGGCGUGCUUAACACAUGCAAGUCGAACGGAAAGGCCCUGCUUUUGUGGGGUGCUCGAGUGGCGAACGGGUGAGUAACACGUGAGUAACCUGCCCUUGACUUUGGGAUAACUUCAGGAAACUGGGGCUAAUACCGGAUAGGAGCUCCUGCUGCAUGGUGGGGGUUGGAAAGUUUCGGCGGUUGGGGAUGGACUCGCGGCUUAUCAGCUUGUUGGUGGGGUAGUGGCUUACCAAGGCUUUGACGGGUAGCCGGCCUGAGAGGGUGACCGGCAACAUUGGGACUGAGAUGCGGCCCAGACUCCUACGGGAGGCAGCAGUGGGGAAUAUUGCACAAUGGGCGGAAGCCUGAUGCAGCAACGCCGCGUGCGGGAUGACGGCCUUCGGGUUGUAAACCGCUUUCGCCUGUGACGAAGCGUGAGUGACGGUAAUGGGUAAAGAAGCACCGGCUAACUACGUG